GACCCGUUUGUCCAGCUGCCUGGGAGAGGCAGGGUACCACAGAGGAGCUGGCAUCCCGAGAAAGGUUCUCCCAGAAGAGAAGGGAGAGCACAUGCCCAGGCUCCAUGGACUUCCGGUUCUCCCCUCCCUUCGCACCCCCACAAUGAGGUCACGACGGGAUGCCACCACCAGCUGGUCCCUUCCAGAGCUCUGUCUGAACUCCACCAGCCUUGCUUCUGGCCUCAUCCUGCAGACCCAGGGGACACCUCCACUUGCAAGUUCAGUCCAUGGGCACUGCACACUCUCUCGGCCCCAAGUUGAACCCCUUUUCCUCACCCAACAUCCUCCAUUUCAACAAAUGGCAGCGUUGUGGGUAAAAUAACACCUCCUUCAGAGACAUUGACAUCCUCAUCCCUGACUUCG
rnacentral:lncRNA from 10 species